UGCCCGCCAGAGAAUUACGGGCGAAAGCCUAAAACUCAAAAGACUUGACGGUGUCCCAACCCUGCCUAGAGGAGCCUGUUUCAUAAUCGACAACCCCCGCUCAACCUUACCCCUUCUUGAACUAUCAGCCUAUAUACCGCCGUCUCACCAGCUUACCUUCUGAAAGACACACAGUAAGCCCAAUAGUCCACAACUAGAAAGUCAGGUCAAGGUGUAGCUUAUGAAGGGGAGAAAAUGGGCUACAUUUUCUGCCGCAGAAAACCUACGAAAAAUACCCUGAAAUCAAGGUAUAAGAAGGCGGAUUUAGCAGUAAGUCAAAUUAGAGUCUUUGGCUAAAAC
rnacentral:rRNA from 1 species